UACGUAGGGGGCAAGCGUUGUCCGGAUUUAUUGGGCGUAAAGAGCGUGUAGGCGGCCAGGUAGGUCAGCUGUGAAAACUCGAGGCUCAACCUCGAGACGCCGGUUGAAACCAUCUGGCUAGAGUCCGGAAGAGGAGAGUGGAAUUCCAGGUGUAGCGGUGAAAUGCGUAGAUAUCUGGAGGAACACCGGUGGCGAAGGCGGCAUCCUGGACCGAUAUUGACGCUGAUGCGCGAAAGCCAGGGGAGCAAACGGG
rnacentral:rRNA from 1 species